UACGGAGGGUGCAAACGUUGCUCGGAAUCAUUGGGCGUAAAGCGCACGUAGGCGGCUAGAUAAGUCGGGUGUGAAAGCCCUGGGCUCAACCCAGGAAGUGCAUUCGAAACUGUCUAGCUUGAAUCUCGGAGGGGGUCAGAGAAUUCCCGGUGUAGAGGUGAAAUUCGUAGAUAUCGGGAGGAAUACCAGUGGCGAAGGCGCUGACCUGGACGAAGAUUGACGCUGAGGUGCGAAAAGCGCGGGGGAGCAAAC
rnacentral:rRNA from 1 species